CGCUGUUCAGUCCGUGUCGGGCUGUCAGCGGGAUCAGCCGCUCCGUUCGAGAGCUCCCGUUUUGGUUGUUACACAUUUCUUCAAAUUUAAAUCAUCGUCCAGUGCGAUUAUCUUAUUCUGUGAGAAAUGAUGUCAUUCGUCUCAGUGGUGACUUUAAAGUGAGUGCAAUCAAAAAUAUCCACGGCUCGUGUCAAAAUCGAAAAAGUGUUUGUUUAUUCUUUUCUUAAUUCGUCGUGCAAAAUGUUUGUGACAAGGAGGAGUGGGGGGCACGUGGCCAGUGACUAAAAUAAAUCUUCUGUGAUGAAUCUGCGUCUACUUAUCGUUGAAACGAGCUGAUGAAUGACACAAGACUUCAUCAAGAGUCGCUUCGUUCUAGUCGGAUAACAUAAUGACGACCCGUCAAUUUCCCAUUUGUCCGAGCUCCGGCCCAUAUCAAUCAUCGCCCGUAACAAGAGAGGAGAAAGAAGAAAAAAAAAACUCAUCACGACACGAUGAACAGCUGAGCAGCUCACAGAUGGGCCAUCAUCAUCAUCUCCUGGUUGAUUUACAAAAAAAAGAAGAAAAAAUCUUUUUCCAUCUUUUUUUUCUCUCUGUGAUGAUUCGCCGCCCAGGAAAAAAGAAAAAAGAAAAAGUGAAGAGGGAAAAGAGGACCCGCAACAUCAAGGGCUUCAUUCCAAUUUUCGGGUGGGGCUUUUAACCUUCGCCUGCGCUGCCAAGGACUAAUCAACUCGGUGCAAAGGUGGAUCAUCCACUUACCAAUCGCCUUUUAGCCUCCCCCCCUUUCGUCAGCUUUUCUCUUUCCCAAAUUCAAAAGGUUUCUUCUUCUCCCCGGCGCAUAAAUCACCGUGGAUCGAUUUUUCCCCCUUUUUUUGAAACUUUACAACCAAUUCAGUUCGAAAUCAAAUGAGAAAUAUGACCUAAAUAACGAUUUUCAUAACUACUACUACUACGGACGGUACUACUAGUAGAGAAAAGAGAGAUGGAUAGAGGGGGCGUACCGUGCAUGCGCCGACCGGAAACAGGAAGAAGCGCUUGGGCAAAUUUCCAUAUGCGCCGAUGAUGCUGGAUGUUAAAAGCAGUCGGGUGACCCAGCGGUGACCUGGCAGCAAUCCCCCCUCUCUCAUUUUCGUUCCUGUGAAAUCAAAUCGAAAAAAUAAAAAUAAAAAUAUGAACAUAAAGCAUCUCCUCCCUGUUUUUUUAAAAAAACAUUUGAAAAUAAAAAGCUAAAACAUCAUCACGUAACAUGUAUCAAACUUUCUCUUUUUCUCUCUCUCUCACUCAUUAUGAAUUGUGACAUCUCUCUCGGGAGUGAAUGCAUAAAUCUAAAUCCCCCAACUCAAAUUUUCGGUACUUUUUUUUUUUUUGAUUCUGGCUGUGUGUUUCCUUUUUCGGGAAAAUAAAAAUUCUACUUCCGCUUCUAUGACACAGUCCAAUGGGUUCAUCUCCGCUCGAUCCUCCUCCUUCCUCUCCUUUUUUUUUCGAUUCCCCUCCCUCCGUUUUUUUUUUCUUUUUCCAAUUCGUCCCGACACAUAUGGAAAAUGGGUUCGUCGUCGUCGUCGUGUGCACUGAUCGAUUUGAGAGAGGAUUGAAUUGAAUGGAUUCAUCCUCACAAAUCCAAUUCGACAACAAUAUCCUGUGGAAUUUGCCAGUUCCCCCCUACUCCGGAAGACGUUACCGACGGAAUCAAAUCAAAUGAAAAAGAAAAAAAAAGGGGAAAAGGGGAAAGACAAAAUUCAAGUCGACAGAAAAAAUGUUGUCGAAUUUCAUUCCUCAAUAAUAAUCAACGCCAAUUGUUUUUCCUGUCUUGGACCUGUUCCGCAUUGACAAAUUUCAACAAAUUGUCAUUGGCAGUCGCUCACCCGCGUCUUACGGUACAACAACAACAACAACAACUGAGAUAUUUCGCUUUUUUAUUUGUCAAUCUCACGUCAAUCAAUACGCCAUUCCCUGGAAAAUUAAAUUAAAUUUAAAAAAAAAUAAUGACCCUGACCGAAAUGUAAUUCAAAAAAAAUAAGUAACAAAACAAAAGGUUACAACACGUCUACAAUCAACCGACCUAAUUACAUAGUACACCGAAAAAUAAAAAUAAAAAUAAAAAAAAUAGACCCAACUGUCACGGCCAACCCCUGAUUAUUAUUAUGACAUAUUCUGAUCUAACUCGGUGAUGGGCGUCAUGGCUGCAGGGGUUGUCCAGUCAGUCAACAAAAAUACGCAAUCCAGGGCAUAUCAUUCAAACUGCACGUUUAUUUUCUUUUUUUCUUUUUGAGACGAGGUGUAAUCACUCCGUGUCACGCUACACAUGUGCGCGCCGCUUCUGUAGAUUCAAAUGAUACGAAGAAAAAGGAAGAGGCCCCGGCACAAGAGAGAUUGACACAAGUUACGUCUCUGGUUUCUCAGAUUUCCUUUUCUUUGACACAACAAAAUCAUAAUGGCAGGCAUUAAAGCAUCAAGUCGACGACGCAGGCUGCUACUUGUUUGUUUUUCACUGGCCGCGCAUGGUGAAACUUCCGGUGGCCACAACCGACAUUUCAUCCUCGGCUAAAUAUAUCACCCAAGAAUUUUUGUAGAUUGUUUGAUUGUUUAUCAAAUCAUUUCGUGCAUUUUAGUCCCAAAACUGAAUCCCAUCAGCUGAUGGGCCUGACGAAAUCGAUGAGGCUCUCGUCCCACGUAAUUUUUCCAAAAGAUGAUAUCAAACGAUAAUUUUAAAAUUAGUUUUUCCUUUUAAAUUUAUUCCUUCCAACGUUUGAAAA